AAUGAACGCUGGCGGCAUGCCUAACACAUGCAAGUCGAACGAGACCUUCGGGUCUAGUGGCGCACGGGUGCGUAACGCGUGGGAAUCUGCCCUUGGGUUCGGAAUAACUCGCCGAAAGGCGUGCUAAUACCGGAUGAUGACGUAAGUCCAAAGAUUUAUCGCCCAAGGAUGAGCCCGCGUAGGAUUAGCUAGUUGGUGGGGUAAAGGCCCACCAAGGCGACGAUCCUUAGCUGGUCUGAGAGGAUGAUCAGCCACACUGGGACUGAGACACGGCCCAGACUCCUACGGGAGGCAGCAGUGGGGAAUAUUGGACAAUGGGCGAAAGCCUGAUCCAGCAAUGCCGCGUGAGUGAUGAAGGCCUUAGGGUUGUAAAGCUCUUUUACCCGGGAUGAUAAUGACAGUACCGGGAGAAUAAGCCCCGGCUAACUCCGUGCCAGCCGCCGCGGUAAGAC
rnacentral:rRNA from 1 species